rnacentral:rRNA from 1 species
UACGAAGGGGGCAAGCGUUGUUCGGAAUUACUGGGCAUAAAGGGUGCGUAGGCGGCAUGUUAAGUCAGGGGUGAAAUCCCACGGCCCAACCGUGGAACUGCCUUUGAUACUGGCGUGCUUGAGUGCGUGAGGGGUAACCGGAACGAGUCGUGUAGCGGUGAAAUGCGUAGAUAUGACUCGGAAGGCCAAAGGCGAAGGCAGGUUACUGGUACGCAACUGACGCUGAGGCACGAAAGCGUGGGGAGCAAACAGG